AAUAGAAUACCCCGGUAGUCCACGCCGUAAACGAUGAGUGCUAAGUGUUGGGGGGUUUCCGCCCCUCAGUGCUGCAGCUAACGCAUUAAGCACUCCGCCUGGGGAGUACGGUCGCAAGACUGAAACUCAAAGGAAUUGACGGGGGCCCGCACAAGCGGUGGAGCAUGUGGUUUAAUUCGAAGCAACGCGAAGAACCUUACCAGGUCUUGACAUCCUGGUGACCACUAUGGAGACAUAGUUUCCCCUUCGGGGGCAACGGUGACAGGUGGUGCAUGGUUGUCGUCAGCUCGUGUCGUGAGAUGUUGGGUUAAGUCCCGCAACGAGCGCAACCCUUAUUCUUAGUUGCCAUCAUUCAGUUGGGCACUCUAAGGAGACUGCCGGUGAUAAACCGGAGGAAGGUGGGGAUGACGUCAAAUCAUCAUGCCCCUUAUGACCUGGGCUACACACGUGCUACAAUGGACGGUACAAACGGUUGCCAACCCGCGAGGGGAGCUAAUCCGAUAAAACCGUUCUCAGUUCGGAUUGUAGGCUGCAACUCGCCUACA
rnacentral:rRNA from 1 species